GUGCUUCGUUAGAAAUGGUGGCAAAAAGGAAAACAUUCUGUGACCGCCAUAUGUAUUAAAUCUUAAUGUAAAAGCCUGAAUUGGCAGGUCGUGCAGCUUAAAACCCAGUUUUUUUUUGCCCUGCAGCCGCAGACAAUAUGGCGGAAAUAACCUUGAUGAGUCUAUUCACAACUGCUCUAACUCUUAGCACGCUUGAAGCUGCUGGCAGGAGCAAAUUAAUGCUGUAUCAAAUACACGCGCAAAAACAUAUGUUGUCGCAACAUUGUUACUGUAACAGUAGUGACGCCUAACACUUAAUGCACAAUUGUUCACGACAAUGUUCACAAUAUUAUUCAUUUGAAAAAAGCCCAGAAAGCCUCUAUGGAGUAGACAAAUUUAGUUUAAACAGCCGAUGUUUUUCUUCAACAUGUGAUAAAUGGACUUGCGAUGCCAGCACUUCCCUUGCGAUAGUAACUUCUAGUAUAUAAUUUAAACAUAUAACUAAGAUCUCCGGUUUAUUGAGAUGGAAUCGGGCACACUAUGCCGUGUGGGUCAACCCCGUCUAGUCUAAUCAGUUCAGCAUGCGAAGGGAUUGUAUAAGAUUCGCUAUCUUAAUUGGGAAAACUGAGAGUUCAAUGCAAUUUAAUUCCUCAAGGGGAUCUUAUAGCUUGAGAUGAUUUUUUCCAAAAUUAAUAAUAUUUAUAUGAUUAGGCUAUAUCCACUUCAUGACGGAGUAAAUAGGCCUUUUAACCUAACGAUAUUGUUGUAAUGUGAUAGAAUAGUAUACAAAAUUAAACCAAUCUCAUAUGACUGAAAUUUUCAGGGAUUGAUCUAUGCGAUAUACCAAAUGCUGAAGAUAUCUUUGUACUCGUCAAAAUACUCCAGUGCAAAAUACAAAGCGCGCACUAUAUCGGAAAAUAUCUUAUAAUAGAGAACGGAUCUAUCGUUUUAAACCCAUCUGCAGAUAAUGCAACAUUUACGCUACGAGAAUACACCGAGCCAUGUUCGUCAACAAAUCCUUUAAUCGUAACAUUACAGCACAGUGCCAAUGCCAGUGACACUGGUGCUGGAAAAUAUAUUUUGAAGAGCGGCCCAAGCACUCUCAGUACUUCAUCUACGCAUCCACACAACACAUCACCACCAAGUCACCCAGGGGUCACGACCAUAAGCAGAAGCAGCAGUUACCUUUUUAACCUUGCUAUUAUUCAGUGCACCAGCUGCAGUACGCCAUCAAAUACUGUAUACCAGUUCCAAUCAUUGUCCCAACCGCCGAACAGCACCACUGCAAUUGGUUUUGUAGGUACUGAUAGUAUUGCCUCGUUGAUGUCUCCCGCAGCGUGCGAAACACAUUUCUGGGUAUUUUAACACUGUUACUUGAAAUUGUGUCAAAAUACGACAUAUUUUUUUUGCUAAUAAACCGAUCUAUAAAGUAUUAAUAAUAAUACUAAAAGAACUCAAACGCAUUCUGUAUAAAAUCUGCAAUGAAAUUUCUAUUGAUAUCGCAAAAGACAUUAGACACGCCUGUUAAUUA